rnacentral:rRNA from 1 species
AACGAACGCUGGCGGCAUGCCUAACACAUGCAAGUCGAACGAGACCUUCGGGUCUAGUGGCGCACGGGUGCGUAACGCGUGGGAACCUGCCCUUAGGUUCGGAAUAACUCCCCGAAAGGGGUGCUAAUACCGGAUAAUGUCUUCGGACCAAAGAUUUAUCGCCUUUGGAUGGGCCCGCGUUGGAUUAGCUAGUUGGUAGGGUAAAAGCCUACCAAGGCGACGAUCCAUAGCUGGUCUGAGAGGAUGAUCAGCCACACUGGGACUGAGACACGGCCCAGACUCCGACGGGAGGGAGCAGGGGGGAAUAUUGGACAGGGGGGACAGCCCUAAUCCGCCAACGCCGCGGGAGUGAUGAAGCCCUUAGGGUUGUAAAGCUCUUUUACCCGGGAUAAUAAUGCCAGCCCCGGGAAAAAAAGCCCCGGCCAACUCCGU